rnacentral:tRNA from 8 species
GAUCGACUUCUAGGGUAGAGGCGCUGCCUGCAAAGCAGCGCAUCCGGGUUCGACUCCCGGGUUGGUCUCC